AUGAAAACCAUCCAUGGGAAUCACAACAGCAAAUUUAGAAGGUUGAACCCGGGAGUCAAAAGAAGAAGAUUUCUCGGGCCAAAGCUUGUUUAUGCGUCUGGCUACUUCAUGCGCUGCUACUUCAUGCGCUAUUGUGCUUUUCCCAGAACCAAGAGGACCAGCCAGGCCAACAAAAACCUGUGCAACGUCAUACAAAUAAGAAGAUUAAAUUAA